GCAUAAAGACCUGAGAGAAAUAAAGCAAUCUUGUGAUUUGAUUAAAAUAAUAAUUAAGUUGAAUAUGUAUGAAUACAAUUGGUAUAAAUGUGUAUAAGUAAUCACUAAAUAACUUUCUGAAAUGUAUUUCUGAAUAAUGAUCAGUAAUGGUAACAACAAUGUAAUGAUUAUAUUUGAUGAUUUAUAGUAAGUGAAAGAUGUGAUUAAUUUUUAAUGAAUAUCAAAGCUGUGAUUUGAAAUCGAUUCAAAUGGUUUUAAUACAGUGAGUUAUAGAAAAGAGAGGAAGUUAUAACGUUAAAGUCAGCAUGAUGGGUGAGGUCCGGCUGUCAGGAUAUGUCGCAAGUUGGGGAAAGAUGGGACUUUCCACAAGACUCAGCAAACAGGUUGGGGACCGUCGGGGCUUUCCACGAGACUCAGCAGAUGGUCAGAAAGUCACGUAGACCAAGCUCCCCAUACACACACAUGGGUGGAAAAAGUAUAAAAGAGGACUGAAAAGAGGAAGCAACUGUUCUUAGUCCGCGGCGCUGGAGACGAGUCAACACGGAGAAGCAGAUUGAGGAACAACAGAGGACCGCACCUCGGAGCCACGGGGAAGUUGAGACUUCGCGCCGCUAAGAAAGGACAAGAUCCUACCGCCCCAGCCCUGGUUCCUGAUUCGACCGUCGGCCCUGCCUCAACCCAACGAUCUCAAACUCUGCAACAGACUUGGAGAAAGGACAAAGGUCCCUGAAGGAUAAAGAGCUGGGUUUUCGAAGGAUUUGGACCCGUUCUGCUUUGAGUCUAUUCUAAGGAGGAUUUUUCCACACAAGGACAAAGACUCUGACCAAGGAUUCUGGAUGUUUCUGUUGCCAAGAUCCACCAUCAACUGGGUGUGAGUUGAAUCUGCUCCCUAAAAGUCCAUCUCAGAACUUGCGACAUAGGUUAGGGAAAAGAGACAGGAUAGUAUGGUUAUACAUGUUGAUUUUAUUAUACUGCUCUUGAAUUAUAUACAAUUGAUUAUUGAUUUGUAUGUCACAUAUCCCUGCUUAAGCUUGCUCAAUAAAUUUAUACUAUAAAAUUCU